rnacentral:rRNA from 1 species
UUCCAGACUCCUACGGGAGGCAGCAGUGGGGGAUAUUGCACAAUGGGGGAAACCCUGAUGCAGCGACGCCGCGUGAGUGAAGAAGUAAUUCGUUACGUAAAGCUCUAUCAGCAGGGAAGAAAAUGACGGUACCUGACUAAGAAGCCCCGGCUAACUACGUGCCAGCAGCCGCGGUAAUACGUAGGGGGCAAGCGUUAUCCGGAUUUACUGGGUGUAAAGGGAGCGUAGGCGGUUUAGCAAGUCAGAAGUGAAAGCCCGGGGCUCAACUCCGGGACUGCUUUUGAAACUGUUGAACUAGAUUGCAGGAGAGGUAAGUGGAAUUCCUAGUGUAGCGGUGAAAUGCGUAGAUAUUAGGAGGAACACCAGUGGCGAAGGCGUCUUACUGGACCGAAACUGACGUUGAGGCUCGAAAGCGUGGGGAGCAAACAGGAUUAGAUACCCUGGUAG